AUUGAACGCUGGCGGCAGGCUUAACACAUGCAAGUCGAGCGGGGUGAUGGUGCUUGCACUAUCACUUAGCGGCGGACGGGUGAGUAAUGCUUAGGAAUCUGCCUAUUAGUGGGGGACAACAUCUCGAAAGGGAUGCUAAUACCGCAUACGUCCUACGGGAGAAAGCAGGGGAUCUUCGGACCUUGCGCUAAUAGAUGAGCCUAAGUCGGAUUAGCUAGUUGGUGGGGUAAAGGCCUACCAAGGCGACGAUCUGUAGCGGGUCUGGGAGGAUGGUCCGCCACACUGGGACUGAGACACUGCCCAGACUCCUACGGGAGGCAGCAGUGGGGAAUAUUGGACAAUGGGGGGAACCCUGAUCCAGCCAUGCCGCGUGUGUGAAGAAGGCCUUAUGGUUGUAAAGCACUUUAAGCGAGGAGGAGGCUACUUUAGUUAAUACCUAGAGAUAGUGGACGUUACUCGCAGAAUAAGCACCGGCUAACUCUGUGCCAGCAGCCGCAGUAA
rnacentral:rRNA from 1 species